rnacentral:lncRNA from 1 species
AAAAUAGAAUGACCAUAGUUACAGAAGUAGUCACAAUAGUAAUUGUAGUAGCAGCAGUGAUGGCACCGGCCACCUGUCUGGAGCGGCCGCUGCAAAGACACCGGCUGCACCAGGGGAGGUGCCGCCAGAGCUGCGCACUCAGCAAAGCCAGGGUGCCCACAGCAGAAUCCACAUGCCGUCCAUCUGGUCCAGCCUCACGCAGAGCCACAACUGUGCUGGCGCCUGGAGCUGCCAGCCCCACUGCAGCAGCCGGACUGACAUUCAGACGUGGAGCAAGUUGGACUGCAUAGGGACCCACCAGUGAGAUGGACGCUGUCUGUAAACGGGGAAAUUUAUGGAAAGAUGUCCUCCUGCAACUGCUGAAAAUGCAACAUGCUGCCCAGGUCCUGCUCAGACCACUGACAACUCAGAAGUUAAUACUCAGAGUGGAAAGGUGAGUAAAGGCUGUUUAAUGACCACCCCAUGAAAAGAGUCAGAAUUACAUCCCUCUUGAUUCCUGUUUCUUUCUGAACAACAUAAAUGUAAUGUAAGCCAAGCUAAUACAUGCUGUUUUGUGGUAUAUAAUGGGUUUUCUGUAGCCAGAUGUGGCGCUGAUUAUUAUUUUUUUUCUGCAAACCUGUGUUACUUUCAGCGUAGCAAAGUGUAGUACAUGAGCAAGCGUUUCAAGCCAGACGGAGUUAAUCAUCUCUGUCACUGAAUUGGAGCUCACGGUCUGCUGGACAACUGUGCUGAGUGGAAAGGAAGCCUCGAUGGCUAAGUCACUUGUCCAACCUCAGACACUGGCAGAUCCAGGAUUCAAACAGCUAGACUCCAAAUGUGUUUCCUUUAACCUCUUUUCUACCUUUUCAACUUGAUUCCACACAUCACCACUGGGAAAGCUUAGGUGAGUAAGUCAUGUGGGCUUUGGUUUUUUCAUCUGCACGAUGGAUAGACUGAGACCUUCUUCCCUCAUGCCUCUGAGGAUGACAUAAAAAACCCACAAAAUCCCUAGUCCACUUACUUGCUCACAGAUAUUUACUGAGUGAGCAUCUGAUUUCCAUCCCAUUGUCACCUUCUCCCUAGCUGUCCAGACACCCUGCUUGCCUGGCCAAUGCCACCAAAGAAUGGAACCUGCUUUUGUUCCACACUCCGUAGCCAGAAAAAAGAGACAGUUGUUCUGGCAUGUUAUUGUUUGAUUUUAUUUUACCUCAGGGAUUAAAAAAAAUGACUAUCAAUUAUAGCAACAUCAGGUAGAGGGUUUGGUAUACAUUUCCGAUGAGCUUAGAUUUCUCUCAAAUUCUCAUACUUUUAAGAUUUAUUUUUAAAUGUGAGCAUUGAAACUUAACCAAUCCUUUAGACUCUUACUCAACAAGGGAUUCUAAAGAACAUUUCUCAGUAGGAAUUAAUCAUUUAUUUUGAAACUACAUAUCUAAUUUGUCUACUAUGGGAAGGAUAUGGAAAGAGAAAACCCAAUUCUUUUUAUUUUUUGGAACAGCUGGGUCCCCAAACCACCAGCAGCUGCUUCACAAAUUGCCUAGCCAUUAAGUAAUUAUUUCCUCAUCAUAAGAGCAGCUGGAAGAGCUAGUCUCUCUCCCUCCCCAGUGCAACUCCCACUUCCUUCUGCCUCCUCCACCCUGUCCUGAAAUGGGCAGGCCAAGAGGUAUACGGUAUUGGUUUUCUUUACGUAAUUGAAGACUGGAAUUGAGCACUCUGAUAGCUGAUUAUUUUUCA